AAACAUCAAAUAUACUGCGACAUCUGUCAUUCCAUUGACUGCCAGGGUUGAUUCGGCUGAUCUGGCUGGCUAGGUGGGUGUCCCCUUCCUCCCUCACUGCUCCAUGUGCAUCCCUCCCAAAGCUGCGUGCUCUGUCGAAGAGGACGACCCUCCAGAUAGAGGAGUACCGUUCUUUGGUUAACGGUUUAUGGUAGCUGCGCUCUGUUGCUAGAACCUCCAAACUUCUGUUUCUUGAGUUUCUGCCUGGAUCCCUGCUUAUCUGCAACCUAGACAGUUACUGUUUCUGCAGUUCCAAUACUAAACUAUUUCAUAAUUAGCCAUU
rnacentral:snRNA from 1 species